rnacentral:misc_RNA from 1 species
UUCGCAGUCACACAAAUUCCACGUGAGCGUUGUGGCCACUGUAUGUGGAUUCUCCAAAUGUCGAUGGAAAUCCGUAGAGUUUAUAGUCUUGAUUGACUGUUUUCUUGAGCGAUUUCUCGAAGGAAUAUUUAUUUUUUCUCGAAGGAUCAACGACUGUAUGUAUCCUCGAAGUAAGACUGUUGUCUUGUAGCUUGCAGGUUCAGAAUGACUGCGCAGCUUGUCAGCAGUAAGGCUGUAUUCUCGAAGGACCAAAAAACUGUAUGAUCCUCGAAGAAAGACUGUUGUCUUAUAGAAAGCUUGUAUUUUGCUUGAAGUUGCUGUAUUAUCUUCCAAACGUCGAUGGAAAUCCACAGCUUGUCAACAGCAAGGCUGUAUUCUCGAAGGACCAAAAAAACUGUAUGUAUCCUCGAAGUAAGACUGUUGUCUUGUAGCUUGCAGGUUCAGAAUGACUGCGCAGCUUGUCAGCAGCAAGGCUGUAUUCUCGAAGGACCAAAAAACUGUAUGGUACAGUCUAUGGUUGAGUGAGAGAUGACAUGUGAGGGAAGGUUAUGAGGGAAACCAAACCCAAUGAAAGUCGAU